UGUUGUGUAAGCCUGAUUAUUUUAAUUGGAUCCUUAGUGGAAGAACCAAGUCCAACAAUUGUUCUUUGACUUCCACACAGGAGCUGUGGCGUGCACAUACCUACACUGCCUCUACUCACUAAUAAUAAAUCUAAAAUUUUAAAAGAGAGAAUAAAUAUUAAAAGCUGGUCCUUAUUAUAUACAAUCCACAUGUCCUUUAUUUGCAUAGUUUUUUCAACCUUCAUAAAAGCUUUGAAGGUAGGAAGUAUUGUUAGUUGUGUUUGGGAGACAAAGGGCCAGAGGCUUUGGGGCGUUAUAGCAGUGAUCCACAGGGCGUACCUGCAUGUCUGUUUCUUGUCCUCAGGUGGGACCAAACCUACAUUCAUCAUCUUCUGCCCUGUUUUACAAAGGAUUUGGGGAACGUUUGGAUCUGAUCUAGAAAAAUACUUUUCUGACCUCUGGGUCCCCACCCCCAGAGCUGGAAAAGCCAGAUCCUGUGUGGCUGGUUGGUCUUGUCAUCCUAUUGCCAUCAUCUCUGCAGAACAGACAUGAGGUGAGGGUUGGGGGCACACAAGAGGAUCAGAGCCGCCUCCCUCACCUCCACUAGCUCUCUACUAGCUCAGGACUUCCUCCAGGUUGAGUCUUUCAGGUAAGCUCAGGUGCUGUGGUUUGAAUGUGUGUUUUUUCACAAACUUGUUUGCUGGAAAUGUGAUGCCCAACACAGAUGGUGUUUGAAGAUGUCACCUGUGUGAGAUAACUAGGAUUAGGUGAGGUCAUGAGGGUGGACCCAUGAUGGCAAAGUGCAGGAAGACACACCUGGGUUGGCACACCUGUCUGACUCACAAUGCUACCUCAUUAGGAGGGCUCCCCAGAUGUUAAGAGGGUGCUGGUGCCAGGCUCCUUGACCUGUAACCCACAGAAGCAUGAGCCAAACAAGUUUUUCUUCUUUAUAAAUGAUCCAGUCUCAUGUAUUUCCUCACACCAAUGAGAAAUGUGCUAGUACAAUAGAUUAUAGCCAAAUAACAACAACAAACCAACAAACCCAACAGCCAUUCUGAAAUGGAAAACCAACAAAUAGUAUGGCAUCAGUUGCCCUCUACAGUGCUUGGGGCAGAGUAAAGGAUCCCUGCUUGACAGUUGCCAUCCUCUUAAAAACAAUCAAACAUAACAGUCAGGGAUGGAAACAACAGUGAUUUCUCCCUGCACAUAUGGUAGGUGAUGACUAUCAUGCUGAU
rnacentral:lncRNA from 1 species